CUUUGAAAGUCCUUCAUUAAUUAAGCAUAUCCUCAAUUGGUAGAUCCAGAUUUUCUGUUGUAAACAGGAGGAGCUAUGGAGCUGGAGAAAGCUAGCCAUGUAAAGCAGAUGCAGACUAGACUAGACCUGCUGCCCAGAAGAAGCAGAAACCAGCCCAGCUGCCUGGACGAGUUUUAGAGCAGCGGAGUCACUUGGAAAGGAAAAUGGAAAACCUCCAACCUGCUGAGCUGCUUACAGACUGUGCAGUGUGCUCCAGAUUCCCAUUUUGUCCCCCACACUGAGGUUAACUGUGCCAACAGAGUAUCAGUUGUCUGAACAUGGUCAUGGCA
rnacentral:lncRNA from 1 species